rnacentral:rRNA from 1 species
GUGCCAGCCGCCGCGGUAAUACAGAGGUGGCAAGCGUUGUUCGGAAUUACUGGGCGUAAAGGGCGCGUAGGUGGCCUUUUGAGUCAGACGUGAAAUCCCCCGGCUUAACCUGGGAACUGCGUCUGAUACUGGAAGGCUUGAGUUCGGGAGAGGGAUGUGGAAUUCCAGGUGUAGCGGUGAAAUGCGUAGAUAUCUGGAGGAACACCGGUGGCGAAGGCGGCAUCCUGGACCGAAACUGACACUGAGGCGCGAAAGCCAGGGGAGCAAACGGGAUUAGAAACCCCCGUAGUCC